rnacentral:rRNA from 1 species
AUGAAUCUCUUUACCUGGAACUGUCGAGGAUUGGGGUUGGACUCGACAGUUGGCGAGCUUCGAUACCUGAUUAGGUCCUACAACCCAUCGGUGGUAGUUCUAUGUGAGACGAAGAAGAGGGCAAGUGCUAUGGAGAAAAUCAAAUGGAGUUUAGGGUUCAGGAAUGGUGUAGCUGUUGAUUGUGUGGGUCAAAGUGGAGGCUUGGCUUUGUGCUACCUCUUGAGCACUGCGUUGGUUUUUCCUUGA